GUUUCCAGGAAAAAGAACAGUGAAGUCUCAGUGAAUCUGUGCAGUCUCAGGCUAAUUUCCAAUUCUCUCUCCCAGUCCUCCCUGCCCACUCAGGAGCCUGUGCUUUCUCAUUUCACCUUGCACUGGGAGAAGGAUGCCAGGCCUAAACAUCUCAAUCCAAGGGACUGAAUGUUACCAGAAGCCUCCAAAACAAGGAGUCCCUCAGAUUUUAAAGGUGAUACAUGAAAUAAAGGCCUGCAGCAGAUACUGCAGUCAUCAAAUCUCCCAUGUGUGGGUGCAAGAAUGAAAGAAAAUCCAGCUCCUGGUGACAAUGAAUGUGUUCGGCACAACCUUCUGCACUCUCACAUUGCUGAAGCCGUUGCCUGAGAAGCAAAAGGUUCCUCAAACCAACCCCAAGUGUUGGGCUCAUGUACCCAACCCUUGCUCUGGGUACAUGAAUCCAAAUAGAGCCUGGCAAAGUGUUUGGCUGAAAUAUUUGCUGUUUCUGGACCUGGUUAGUUUUUGGAUUGAGCUUGGCUGUG